UAUUAGUUAAGAUGUGCAAUAUCUGUACCUAACAAAACCAUGCUGCUAUUAAAACUGGAAUUUCUCCAAACAGUUGUGCUUUUUGUUUAAAAAAUAUUAAUUAUGUAAAUCUUUAUAUUCUUGUAGGAUGCUUACUCCUAGACCCCCAUAGUAAAAGCUUAGCGCCCCCAUUUAUAGUCUCUAGUGAUGGCCCUGCUAUAUAGUAGAUAAUAAGAAGGGAAAGAUGUUUCAGAGGCAUUUCAUUUUCUAACAAUGUAAUGUUUUUAUUAAUUUAUGUUAAAUAAUGGCAAAACAUACUGUUUGUUAUAUGCUGUAUGUUGGUUAUUGUGCCUGGUGAAGGUGAACACUGUGUUUUCCACAGAAAACCCGCUGCCACUCAGCGCGUCGGAGAGGGUGAUGGGGGUCCUGGGAUGGGUGGUGGCCCUGGGCGUGAUCCUCAGUAUAGCAGGAAUUGCAUUUUUGGUCAACAAACAGCAGAGAAACAAGCAGUCUGAGAACGACGGUGACUCGAACAACUCGUCUCCAGGCCGUAAAAAAACUUCCUCUUCUAAAAAGAAACCGGCUGAUGACUUCCAGGCUCCGGGGAGGUUAUAUGACGAGCUCCCGAACACAGCUGACUAUGUGAGUUAUCGUCUGGCGUGUAAUAAAGACGACUACAUGGAGCAGCACUCUCCACCUAUCCAGCCUCCGCUCACCUUUCUGCCCCAGAACCCCUACACCCAGCACGCCACCCACACCAGCACCUUCACCUACCCCACACCACCCGCACCCAUCUCCUCAUACACAUUCCCUAAAGAACAGUACGUAUAAACUCACACACACACACACACACACCUCUUCAUAUUUGACCUCUGCUCUCACUCUCUGCAGUGUAUGUAUUUGUAAUAACUAAGAAUAUGUUUAUGUUGCUUUCUUUCUUUUUUACGUCUUCUUCCUAACAUGCAUGUUGGGUGCGUUUGUAAAUGUUUGUGAAAUAUGACAAAUAGCAUUUGAAUGAUAAUUUAUUCUCGUACGUCUGUAUCACUGAACUGUUUUGCAUAUUGUUCUUAAAUCGAGUGCACGCCACUGCACUCUGCACCCACACUACAAUAUUCUGAGUGUAUAUUUACUGUACCUUGAUGGCCAUCCUCACAGUGCAUUCAUAAAGUCAUGAUAAACGGUUUUGUGUAAUAGUUUUUCUUAUUAUUUUUUACUAUUAUUAUUUAGUUAAAUGUAGUUUAGGUUUUGUACGUUAUGUUGUUCACUGCUUACUGAAGAAAAAAAACAGCAAGUUAAAGCAUAUUAAAGCAGCACUAUCUCUGCAACACUGCUGAAAGACUCUGGACUAUACAUACACUCUGUUAAAAUCUAAAGUCUUAUGUUUUCUUUAUGAAGCUAUAAACAGUGUAUAUUCUGUAUAUAUGUACGUUUAUUUUAUAUGAACAGCGUAAUAUUUGGGGAAAAUUGUCCAGAAUAUCUUAUUCUGGUCCUGUACAACUGUUUACAUUAUUAUAUAUAUAUGUUAUAAUACGCUUUAUGUCAAUUUAUUUAUGAUCUUUUUUGCUUGUUGCUGUUUUCAUGAUAAGCAAAUUAGGGAUGCAUGAUGAUAUCAGAAUUAUAUCGGUAUCGGCCGAUAUGUCCAAUGAUUUAAAUUGAUACUUGCUGGUGUAUUUAUUGUAUGCCAGAAAUGGACCAAUCGAUGCUGGCCACGCUAAAACAGUUGGCUGCACUUCUUUUAAAAUUAAUUGAUUAAAAAGUCAUUUUAUUUAUUUGUUUUACUUUUAAAGUUGUAAAGUUAUGCCAGGGUGUCUAGCUUCUCUGUAUAUUACAAAUGUGUAUAUCAGUAUUGGCAUUGGCAGAUAUAUACAUGUGUAAUAUAUCUGGACGUUUUUUUUCUUUUUACAUUUUUUCAUGUUACACCCACAAACUUAAUUGUAUUUUAUUAAGAUUUUAUGUGAUAGACCAACAUAAGGUAGCAGUUAAUUGGAACGUGAAAAGUUUUUAAUAUUUUUUAACAAAUAUGUAACAUAAAAAUAUGAAAAUUUCAAGGUGUAUGAAUACUUUUUUAAAGCAUGUAAACGAUUACACACAAAAAAAUCCCCCUUAUAACUUCAAAGUAAAUAAGAGACCGCUCAUAAGACUUUCUUGAAUAUUGUAUUAUCACCGUAUAGAAUUUUAAAUCACAAUAUUACUGUGUGACGAUAUACAGCUCUGGAAAAUAUGUCUUUUGAUUUGAACAAAUUUAAAAUAUCUGCGAUUUUCUCAAUGCGGCUCAGCCUAAACAGACAGAUCCAAAUCCAGUCAGCUUAAACAUCAAGCCAACUUGACAAACUUGUCACUGAUGAGAAAGGAAAAUAGCCAGCUUCUUUGAUGAAACCGAAACUUCCUGUGAAGCAUUGCUAUUCUGGGUAUUAAACAAUAAAAAAUAUGUAGUGUGAACA
rnacentral:lncRNA from 1 species